rnacentral:misc_RNA from 1 species
GAUCAAGGACAAGACCUUCAACCUAGAAAAGAACCAAACACACAAAAUAACCAAAGGACACCCACAGUAUUGACAAAGGACAUUACCAUUUAACAAGUAUCAAGUAGAAAGAAUUGCAGCUUCAAUGAAUCAUUAAAAUACACAGGUUAUAAAUUUAUAUGCAAAUCAUUAAUUUCAAGAAUAACAAUUAUAGUUCAUACUUCAUACGAUCAUCAUGGAAGGCUUGAAUCCUCUAUGAUGGUCAAGAGAUUUUAUGGGAUUGCAUCCCCUCACAUUUAAAGUAACUCUGUUAUAAUGAUUUAAAUGGUAAGUGUAUGUGCAAAAUCCACUUCAGCCACAGCAAAACAAUAGCUAGUUAGCUACAAUGUUGUGCAUUGUCAAGUAACCAACUCGAAUAGGCAUCCAUGUGUACUAAACCAGUGAACAUCUUUUAUUGAUCUGUUUUUACGUUAAGCAAAUAUGGAACUUCAUGACCUCUCUUAUAGGUAUUGCUAGCUCAAUGCUUUAUGGUGUAGAUAAAGUGGAAAAGACUGAAAUGAGGAUUCGCUCAAUCCAACUUGUAAUAUUUCAGUAGAAAAGUAUCAUGAAAACUCAACUAAUU